AUUGAACGCUGGCGGCAUGCCUUACACAUGCAAGUCGAACGGCAGCACGGGUGCUUUCACCUGGUGGCGAUUGGCGCACGGGUGAGUAAUACAUCGGAACAUGUCCUGUAUAGGGGGAUAGCCCGUCGAAAGCCGGAUUGAUACCGCAUACGAUCUACGUAUGACAGCGGGGGACCUUCUGGCCUCGGGCUUUGCGGUUGGCCGUUGGCGGAUUCGCUAGUUGGUGGGGUAAAGGCUUACCAAGGCCACGAUGAGUAGCCGGUCUGAGAGGGCGACCGGCCACACUGGAACUGAGACACGGCCCAGACUCCUACGGGAGGCAGCAGUAGGGAAUUUUGCGCAAUGGGCGAAAGCCUGACGGAGCAACGCCGCGUGAGUGAUGAAGGUCUUCGGAUCGUAAAACUCUUUUAUCAGGAAAGAACAACUGUGUAAGAAACUAUGCAGGGCUUGACGGUACCGAAACAGAAAGCCACGGCUAACUACGUG
rnacentral:rRNA from 1 species